GUGUCAGCAGCCGCGGUAAUACGUAGGAACCAAGCGUUGUCCGGAAUUACUGGGUGUAAAGGGUGCGUAGGCGGGCAUGUGCGUCAGAGGUUAAAUCCCACGGCUCAACCGUGGACCUGCCUUUGAUACGGCAUGUCUUGAGUGCGAGAGAGGAUGGUAGAAUUCCUGGUGUAGCGGUGAAAUGCGUAGAUAUCAGGAGGAAUACCGGUGGCGAAGGCGGCCAUCUGGCUCGUCACUGACGCUGAGGCACGAAAGCGUGGGGAGCAAACAGGAUUAGAUACCCUGGUAGUCCACGCCCUAAACGAUGUAUGCUUGGUGUUGGGGGAAUUAUCCCUCAGUGCCGAAGGUAACCCAUUAAGCAUACCACCUGGGGAGUACGAUCGCAAGGUUGAAACUUAAAUGAAUUGACGGGG
rnacentral:rRNA from 1 species